ACCUUGAAAUACCACCCUUUAAUGUUUGAUGUUCUAACGUGGACCCGUGAUCCGGGUUGCGGACAGUGUCUGGUGGGUAGUUUGACUGGGGCGGUCUCCUCCUAAAGAGUAACGGAGGAGCACGAAGGUUGGCUAAUCCUGGUCGGACAUCAGGAGGUUAGUGCAAUGGCAUAAGCCAGCUUGACUGCGAGCGUGACGGCGCGAGCAGGUGCGAAAGCAGGUCAUAGUGAUCCGGUGGUUCUGAAUGGAAGGGCCAUCGCUCAACGGAUAAAAGGUACUCCGGGGAUAACAGGCUGAUACCGCCCAAGAGUUCAUAUCGACGGCGGUGUUUGGCACCUCGAUGUCGGCUCAUCACAUCCUGGGGCUGAAGUAGGUCCCAAGGGUAUGGCUGUUCGCCAUUUAAAGUGGUACGCGAGCUGGGUUUAGAACGUCGUGAGACAGUUCGGUCCCUAUCUGCCGUGGGCGCUGGAGAACUGAGGGGGGCUGCUCCUAGUACGAGAGGACCGGAGUGGACGCAUCACUGGUGUUCGGGUUGUCAUGCCAAUGGCACUGCCCGGUAGCUAAAUGCGGAAGAGAUAAGUGCUGAAAGCAUCUAAGCACGAAACUUGCCC
rnacentral:rRNA from 1 species